AUCUAGUUGAUGAGUCUUAAGUAGGACAAAACGCGCGUCCUGGAU
rnacentral:hammerhead_ribozyme from 1 species